UACGAAGGGGGCUAGCGUUGCUCGGAAUCACUGGGCGUAAAGCGCACGUAGGCGGUUUGUUAAGUCAGGGGUGAAAUCCUGGAGCUCAACUCCAGAACUGCCUUUGAUACUGGCGAUCUUGAGUCCGGGAGAGGUGAGUGGAACUGCGAGUGUAGAGGUGAAAUUCGUAGAUAUUCGCAAGAACACCAGUGGCGAAGGCGGCUCACUGGCCCGAUACUGACGCUGAGGCACGAAAGCGUGGGGAGCAAACAGG
rnacentral:rRNA from 1 species